ensembl:lncRNA
CCCUGCGUUUGGACCCAGACCCUGUUUCUUCCAUGGCGUACUCUUGACCGCGCCAUGACAGAAUCCAGCCAGCAAACAUGGGUCCAGCAGGGAGGUUCCUCGAUGUCCGCCAGGGAGAUCGGAGCAUAGAGGAUUAUGCCUGGGACUUCGUGGGGGCGGCUCGGUUGUCAGCUGCAGAAAGGACCUGCCUAAUGGUCUGUUUCUGCGGAGGCCUAGCCGAGCCCUUCAGGUCCCUUAUGCCAUUCUGGCACCCUGAGAAGACGCUGGAGGACUAUAUCAACCUGGGCCUGCAGCUGAGUGGCUCAGCCGUCAGGUUGGGGGUGCUGACCCAGGAAGUUCCCCGAGAGGUGGUGGUGGCCGCUCACGAGUCCCCCGAGGCGGCGGUGGCCGCUCACUAGUCCUCCGAGGCCGAGUCCCCCGAGGCGGUGGCCGCUCACGAUCCCCCCGAGGCAGCGGUGGACGCUCACCAGGUUCCAGAGGCGGCGGUGGCCGCUCACCAGUCCCCCGAGGAGGCAGUGGCCGCUCACGAGUCCUCCAAGGCGGCGGUGGCCGCUCACGAGGUUCCAGAGGCGGCGGUGGCCGCUCACGAUCCCCCCGAGGCGGCGGGGUCUGCCAUUGCCUGUUCCAAGGGGGCAGCUCCACACACAUCGCUGUGUAUGUUGUAUAAAUAGGCCAAGGUGGCCGCUGGUUCUGCCCUGGGUUCCCAUUCCAUCGGCUCUGCCUCAAUCCCCAGGUCCCCCUACAGCACACGGACCUGGAUCCCCGUCCCUCCCCCUGCUCCGCCCCCGCACGGCCGUUCCCCUGGUUGGGCGUUCUGGAACGUCUGGAAUCCGUUCCUUAGAGGAGGGGUCCUGUCAUGAGUCCGGACCUGGUGUUUCUCCCUCUCACCACCAGAGGCACCAUUUCCAAUUCUCCCGGACUCAUUUACUCCACACACCUGUUCACCCACUCAAACACACACACACCUGGUGCCCAUUGUCUUGGCCUAUUUAUACAACAUACUCCC